UUUUUGAAGAGUUUGUAUUUAUAAAAAAUCUUUAAUAUUAGAGGUAAGAGAUAAAAUGGUGAGAGAUGAGAAAAUCGUGAGAGAGGAAGAAAUAAAUUAUGAGGUGAAACAGAAUGUGAAAUGGUAAAUGAGGAAAUAGAUGGAUGAAUUUUUAAGGAUAAUUUUGACUUUUUAAUCGCUUUCUCGGGGCUUCGGCUUACAAAUGUAAUGAGAUAUAAGUUUGCUGGGCAAAUGGGGUACAUUCAAAUAAAAAACCCGUUUGUUUGACGGGUUUAGGAGAGAAUAUGCUAAUAAGCGUUCGAAUCUGUUAGGAAAUAGAUGACUUGAAACCGAACUAAACCAAACCGACAACAAAACCAAAUAGUUUUCAUCUCCAGUGUGUCUUCGAGCUCAUACAUCUCAAAGUAUCAAACUAUGAUUGCAAAAACCUUUCAAGUAAGUUACUUCCCAACAACCCAACCCUUGAAGCUGCAGUCGAGUUAACAAUUUUUAUGCAACUGGAUAUUAUGCAAAAAUCAAGUUAUGCUUGUGUUAGGUUUGGUUUUGUUUUCUGUUGCAAUUGAGCUUAUUCUGCAUGACAUCUGUUUGUUCCGGUGGUGAGGGAUAAAUGGAUAGUGUUAUUGGUGUUGCAGUAGUUGUGUUGUGUAGUUUUGUAGGAAGCUGCUUGCUAGUUGCUAUUGAGUUUUGAAAAAUUAGGAAACCCUCAUUUUUUAUGAUUACAGGAUCCUUCACUAAAUUUGGAUUUGGUUAAUUGAUUAUUUGCUGCUUGCUAGUUGCUACUGAGUGUUAUUAACAUAUUAUUUCACAACCAUUUAUCAAAUCUGUUUUUGUCAGGUUAUGUCACAACCAUUUAUCAAACCUAUGUUUCCCUUAUAGCAAUGAAGAUGAAUAUAAAGAUUGAGCCCCAGUAGGGGCCUUUUAACCCCCUUCCCACGAAAUGUAGCAGUAGAUAUCUCCCUAAUAUUAGUGAGAUUAUAUUUAUGAGCUAGCCUCGGUAGAUUUAUGCGCUAGUUGUACUAUAAGUGUAUAUAUCUAGAUUCUCAAUGGAUUGUAAUAUACUUUUUGUUUGUAAACAUUUCAAAGAUGGCUUUCCUUUUCACUUAAAAGAUUAUACAUAUAUGUAUAUAUAUGAGUGUGUGUGUGCGCGCGCGCGUGUGUAGCAAUACAUGGAUGAAUUUUCCAUAACAUUAUCAUUCCUAAAGUAUUAAGAACUGAGCGCAAAUGUGAUGAAGAAAAAUGUUGCAUAUUUAUGUUGUUCGUGUUCAGUUAGUAUUAAAUCAUUCUAAAAUUGUUAAUAUUGAUUUAAGUUUAAAUCAUAUGUGGGUGCACUUUUUGGAAUCUGGUUCAAGUUAAUUCCCUUCUGGUAGAGUUCAAAGUAUUGAUCUCUUAUAGAGAUGUGUUCUAGCAGCUUCUAGCAAGUUAAAUGUUCAUCGCUUAAUGGUCCAAGAUUAUUGUGUUGUGAAGUCUAAUGAGCUGCCAAGUAGCAUGUUGAGCAAUUAGUAAGAGGGGAAUGUUAAAAUGAGUACUAAUGAUUAAUUAAGUAGCCAAAAAGAGGGUGACUACUACUUGAUCAUGGACUAGAAUAUAUACCUUUUCGAAUAACAUGGGAAGUGUUUAUUACUAUUCUAAGUUAAAUGUUAUUGCAGAAAUCAGUCUACUCAUUGAAACAGAAUUAAGAAACCAGCCCUCCCUUUUGAGCUGCUUUCUUAAAGAAUGUCUGAAUUUCUUAGGUUUUUCCUAAAAGUUUCUCCAACAAUGGAAUCAGCCUUAACAAAUACAGCAGGAUAGCCAAUUGGAGCUUCCACCCAAGCUUCAGAACCUUGCCCUGUAAAUAUCUUUUCCGUCCAAAUAUGUUGCCAAGUGCUGGUUUCUCCAACUGGAAAAUAAACUCUGACUUUCUUCUUUCCUUUGUCUAGGAUUGGCACAACUAAGAUCUCAGUACCCACCAAAAACUGCUGGUAACUCAAUCUCUGCACCUUGUCAUCAUCUGGGUAGUGGAGAAAUAGGUGACGGCAUACAGGAAGACCUUUCUGAGAAGCCUCCUGUUAGAAGGCGAGAAAGAGGUUUGUUAGAAUUUACACUGAAAAUGCUGAGUUGAAUUGAAUGGAUCACCUGUGUGCGUAUAUCACCUUUACAAGUUUGAUUCUGUAGAAUUUCCAUGCUCUAUAUACUUUAGCAAAUCGUGCAAAAUGGGAUAACGUUUGUUGGUUUGAGUAGAACUGGCUGUUGAAGGAUGGUUUGUUUCCCUGCAUGUAAAUGGGUUAGCUGACUUGGUUAUUUAGAAAGAGAGUAAUGACUUAUCUACUUAUUUCAUUUUCACUCACAAAAGAUGCUAAUAAUGAUAAUGCCAUUGUUAAUGCAGGUAUAUGAAUUUCUGGAAAGAAAUUUUUAACUUACUUCAUGGGUCCGGAAAACGGUGGUGAAAGCAUUUAGCUCCAUCCAUCGCAACAGCAACUCUUCACUUCUUCUGUAUUUGAUUAGAGGUAAGUUUACUGCACAGUAACCUCCAAUAUCACUGUGGUUAAAAGCAUAACCAGAAAGUCCACUGCUCAGUAAGCCAACAACAGCACUCUUUAUCCCAUCAUUAGCUUGCCAACUUACCAUUUGGUCUCCUUCCCAAAACAGCAUCCCCCAUUUGGGACUAUCUCUAAAACCUGCCCUCAUGAAAAAAACCAAAUCCUCUUCUGUGUCUUCCCUCUUUGUACCUGUACAUUUAUCUUUCCAUUCUUCCACAAACUCUCGGUUAAUUUGGGCCCAUAGUUCUGGGUAUCUGUUAUGGGCUGAAAUAGGAUCUUCACCUAAUAGAGUAACAUUAAACUAGAUAAAUAAUCAUGCGAAUAAAAAGUAUUAUCACAAAAUAUUAAACAGUUUUUAAAUCAUGUAGAACCAGCAGGUUCCUACUUUUCAUUCAGUUAGCACUUGCUUAGUAGGGCAAUCAACUGGGAUCUCUGAUGCCUACAAAAUCUCUUUUUUUAAUCCUCCACUUCUUUUUGCUUGUUGAGAUGAUUAUGGGCUGCGUAAGUGUUGGUGAGUUUGUUCAGCAAGUAAGUAGUUUGCCAAAAAGGCAACAGUUUGCAUGCUUGCCAAAAAGGGUAAUUAAUAGGCAACAGUUAAUUAGAGAAACUCAUUUCAUGACUAGGAUCCAUCUUUCCUACAAUAUCACUAGUAAGCAUUGUUAACAGUUGCAAAAGGUAUAAGCUUAGAGGAAAGGUAUAGCUUGAGAGGUAGAGUUCUUUCAUCAUUCAUCAUUUUUUAUAAGUUGAGCUUUAGACUAGUGAUGGUUUAAACUAAUUGUUUAACAUAAAGCACGUCAGAAAUGCUAAUCAAAUGACCAUCAAACUUUUAGUCAUUUGUUUCACUUAGUUUCAAACAGCCUCACAUGGGAGUGAAGGUCAAUCAAGAAAGAAAUUAGAAUUCAAACCUGAAUAAAGGAUGGCAUCCACAGGCAAGCCUUCACCAAAAUCGGCCAUCCAUCCUCUAACUCCAUCUUCCACCAUUUCUUGUAAAACCUGCUUGAACCAACUUGCUGUAUCUGGGUGUGUCAAAUCCAACAUUCCCACAUCAAAAGCUGUGUUUGGAACUAGGUAUUGUUCACCAUUCUUAUCUUUUACCAGUAUGUCCAACUUCUUGGCCUCCUCAAAAAGAUUUCUCCUUCUAUUUGGCUUCUCAUGAGACUGUGAAAGCAGGUAGAAUAUUCAGAAGAAAAUGUGGCAGAUUUUCAGUAUAUUGCCAAAUAUCACAACAUAAGGCUGUACAAAUGUCAUAGCCUUUAUUAUAUGUUAAAUUGGAGAACAUACGUACUGGUGCCAAACAAGGAUUGCAGUAUGUCAUCACUUUAACAUGAUGAGCGUUGAGAUCUUUAAGAAGUUGUUUCCAUCCCUUAUAUCUUGUUGUAUCCACUUCCCAAUUCCACCACAGUUGUGAUCCAAUCAAUGUCUCCCGUUGACCCACCCAAUCCUAAUCAAAAGUUGUUCGACAAUCAAAUAUGAUGCAUUCUAUGGUAUGAAAUAUGAAUGUGAGUUGUGUUUAUUCUAUCAGAUAUUGCUCAAGGGACUGGAUUUGGAAUUUGAAGUUGUUCAGUUGUGGUCUAAAUUAGAAAUUAUAAAAUAUCAAUAUUUUGAAAAGUGUCUAUCAGACUGCUAAAAGUUUGGUACCGAUGCACCAGUUGAAAUCUUGUGGAAUAUGGUGCCACCUUGAAAUUGACAUUUUGUAAGAAUAUAUUGGUAAGUUUGUGGAGUUGAACCUGCAACCAAAAUGCUGAAACUGGAACUUGAUAACUCCUAAGUGCAUCCCAGACACGACGUACAGCAUCUGUACCACCCUGCAUUCCAGCUACAGCUCCAGAUACGAUCCAAUCGGGAAGCUCAGGAGGCCUCCCAAUUGUUUCUGUGAAGUGUUCAAUGAGCUCACAAGGUGAGUUUCCAUGCAAUAUCCUUCCCUGAACUGAAUUUCCAUGUAUCUGCAAACUCCAGUAUACAGAAAAUGGGAAACUGCAAGUUUAAAAUCUGAAUGAGCCUCAAUAUGUCUCAGGCUUUCAAUUAAUCCUUUUCAAAUUGCAGUUGUAAAUUUUAUUGUGCAGAGAACACAGUGGAAUUACAAAAUAUCAGUCACAAUUUUCAAUCAUCAAUUUUUCACCGUGCUCUCAGAUUCAGAUAAUUAUAAAUUGAACAAUUUACCUGUAUCUGAACUCUAUCAACUCUUGUGAGAUCAAACACCGAAUAAUCAUAUCCUUGAAGGUAAACAGACCGCAUUUUGGAAGUCAUAUAAAAUGGAGAUGGAGCAUAAGUCGUACUCCAAUCACCCCCGGCCCUAUAAGAAGAAAAUAUGUUACUAUGACUUAUGAGCAAGUGUUUAAGAAGGAAACACGAGUGAUUUUAAGUGGGGUACCAUGUAGUAUGUACCUGUAGCUAACCAAAUUGGCAGCAAAAGUAAUAGGUUGGUCUCCUCUUCCAAUGCCUUGUUCUUGAACAAAAAUGGGAACCCUUUUGCCUUUGAAAUCCAUAUGAGAAAACUGCUCUCCGAAACCAUAGAAUCUCUCAUUUCCUUCACUUGAAUAUGUCAAAAACACCCUGUUGAAUUCUCUAUGCUGUGGAAUUGGAAUCUUCAACUCCGCCGCUGGCUGGUUCUCAGUCUCUGUUGAGGAAAUUCUUACAAACCCUUUUGGCCUUGUAAGCGACCAACACCACCCAAGCUUUCUCUUCCGGAUCCGAAUCCGACCCAUUCUCCUCUGCCUGAUCGCAAAGUUGGGUUGACCAAGCUUCAAUUCAAAUCCGAUUUGGUGACUAGUCUUUUGAUCAAACAGUAACCAAUAUCCUGCCUUUGUUUCAAAUUGUAUAUCCUUCUUGUUAUAAAUCACAUAACUUUGAUUUGUCUUCUUAAUCUUUUUACUGAAAAUCCAUCCUGUUAUAAGCACAAGGGGGAACUGGACAUUCUGAUGUAAAGUAAAAGGACCGUCAAAGUGGAACUGAUCAUUGAUCACUCUUAUGUCAUCAAUAGUUUGAUCCUGACAAAGCAAAUGAAUAUGUCUGUCUUUGAUAACGAAAGAGCCUCUGCUUUCUUCCACCAGAGUCUCAGCCAGUGCUGCAGAGACAAAGGCUUUUCCUGGGAUGCUAGACCAUAGGGGUCUUGCUGGCUUAGAUUGAUGAGAAAUUGAGAGAUACCCACCAUUGUUUGAACUCCAAAGAAUCUCAAAAUCGUUACCGAUUGUGAAUAUUUGGUGAGAAGACAGUUUUUCACAAUUGAAGGCAAGAGAUCCUUGGAUUAAUGGCAGAGAUUUUGGGGUUGAUAGAAAUGGAUUGUUAAGGUGUUUAUGGUGCUUUUUGGUGAUUUUGAUAGUUUCCAUUUUGGACAAUGCCGAUGUUGCAUGAAAUCUCUUAUUUAUAGAUUAGAUGAAUGUGACUAAGUCAAUGGCCUUUUUACGGAUUUACCCUACCAACCAAAAAGUUUUUCUAACCAUAAAGAUAAAAGAUUUUGUGGUUGGCACUGAAUUAAUGGUUGUUAAAUAAUAAAAAUAAAAAUUUAAAAUAAAUCUUAACAAUUAAUUCUUGCUUAAUAAAAAACAAGUUCAGCACUAAAUCAUAAUUAGGGAUGGCAAAAAUCCUCACGGGGACAGGUACCCUCAGGGAUUUUCUCCAUUCGGGGAGGGUAUGGGGAUAAUUUCAUACCCAAUUUCUUAUUCAGGGAAGGGACGGGAAAAUAUUUUUACCCAAUUUUUUAUUCGGGGAGGGGACAUGGAUAAGGUGGAAUCCCCAUCCCCUACCCAUUUCCCCAUUUUAAUUUUUAAUUUAAUUUUUAUUUUUUAAAAUUACUAGUAAAUAAAUAAUAAAAUUUGAAUUAUAAAAUUAUAAGUAUUGGUAAAAAUAAAAAAUAUCAAAAUAUUUAUAUUAUUAAACUUUUAGGCCUAAUUAACUAAUUAAAGUCCUAAAUUUUUAUUUAGGACAUUAAAAAGACCGGACAUAAUCUAUUAGCCCAAAAUUUUUGUUUUAAUUUUAAUAUUCAUUAAAUAUUUUAAACUUAAAUCUAUUUUUUAUUUAUUUUAAAUCUAUGUUUUAUUUAUUUUUAGAUGUUAUAAUUGCCCACAGCAAAUCACAAUUUUAAUAUAUAAUCUAAUCUAAUAUUUGCUCUUGAUUUGCUUCGACUUAACUAUUGUGUUGUAAAGGGAAUAAUCCACAUUUAUAAAGUGCCCACGCCACCAUUGAAAAGUUAAUUUUGAAUCUAAAUUUGAUUUUAUUUGUAACAAUUUUGUAUUAGGCUAUUAAUUUGUUCAUGAUAGUUUGUAUCCCUUGCAUGCUGCGUUACUUACUAAUUUAAUGUAUGUGACUUUUGUAAUGGAUAUUAAAGUAAGAUAUAUUUCGAACUUUACUUUUAUUUGAAUUUUUUAUUUUAAUAUGAUUAACUCAAAAUUGAAAACAAAAAAAAUGUAUUAGUUAUUCGGGGAUCGGGGACCCUCGGGGAUCUCCUGUUAUUAUUCGGGGAGGGAAUGAAGAUUCUCUUAAAUAAUUUUGACGGGAAUGGGGAGGGGAUGUGGACAUACACAAAAUAUCGGGGAUGGGUACGGGGAGAUUGGUCCCCUCCCCUCCCCUCCCCUCCCCUCCCCAUUGCCAUCCCUAAUCAUAAUCUUGUGAACAAACCCUUAUGAUAAAACACCUCAUCACCUCUUCCAUAAGGUUGAAGGUUAUACUUGCUUUAAUUAUAUAUAUAUAUGCAUGCUGAAUUUAUUCAUAUUUAGAUUAUAUUAUAUUGUAUUAUCUCAAGUAAAAUUAGAACAUAUUGUUUAUGUCACAAUUGAUAUGAUUAAGAAUUUAAAAAAAAAAUGAAAAGUGGGGCAGGGAGGAUAUGCACUAGAGAUGUCCAAUGGGUUGGGUGGCAUAUGGCAUGACACUGUACGAGUACGUUUUGAUAGGUCAUGCUGUACGACACGCACGUGGACUGGGCUGGACUGAGAAUUUUAGGCACAUAGGGCUUAAAAACAUGUCAUGAUUAGAGAUAAGCUAAAACACAGUAAUGAGAAGGCUUGCAAUAAAUAUGUUUUAUUUUUGACUGAAAGUAAAUUUAAAAUUUUAUGAUUUUACAAAUAAUUUGAAAUUGAAUCUUUUAAUAUAUUUUAUUAGUGUAAGUUUUUUAAAUUCAUUUAAUCCUUAGUUUAAAAAAAACUCUAAUCAUUUUAGAUUUAUUAUUUAUUAAAUGAAUAAAUGAUAUCAUAAUUUUAUAAAAUGCAUGUAAUAAUAUUAUUAUGAACUAUGAUCUAUGACUUUAUAUAAGUUCAAGUUAAUAAUUAAGUUAACCCUUAAGAAAAUUUAUUAUUGUUGUUGUUGUUAAGUAUAAAAAAGAAUUCUAAUACCGUAAGGUCUAACGUAAUAGUUAUUUGUACAUUCUCUUAUUACUAUUGAUUUAUAAUUAUUGAAUAUGGACUUGAGUUUUAAACUUUUAAUUUUAUUGAAUUUGACUAAAGGUAGGUGGACCCGAGAAAAAAAAUAUAUGGGCUUGAAAAAUGCAUGCCAACACCUUAGCAUGCCCUCUUAGAAAAAAUGAAAAAGUGGAAAAAAGCUUGUUGUGCUUUUUUCUUAAGCGUGAUUCACGGCACGUGUGGGUUCAGCAUGUGUGCCAAACCAAACCUAAGCAGCAAAAAAAAAAAAUAUAUAUAUAUAUAGUACGAUACGACACAAGAUACAUGGCAUGGCUCCUGAGCCUUCAUGGGUCUUCCCCCCCGUUAGCCUGCUAAUGUAAAGAUAUGCCAGGCGGUGCCACAUUGGAUGUAGUCCAAUUAGAGGUCGCCAACGGGCCAUGCCGUGCCGGCCCAGGCCCAUCAAAUGAAGCCCACCCGUGCUCUUGCCGUGUUGUGCCCAUUAUGCGUUUCGUGUCGUGCCGUGCCGUGCUGUUCUUAAUUUUUUUUCUUCGGCCCGGCCCGACACACGUGUCGUGCCCACUCGUGCCGUACUGUGCUUAAGAAAAAAAAGCCUACUAAGCUUUUUUCCUUUUUUAUUUUUUUAAAGAGCACAUGCCAAGUUGUUGUCUUAUUUUUUUCAAGUUUAUGUACUUUUUUGGAUUCAUGUGCCUUUAUUCAAAUUUAAUAGAAUAAAGAAUUCAAAACUCAAAUUCAUAUUCAAUAAUAAUAAAUUAAUAAUUAUAAGAGAAUGUAAUAUUAAUUAUUAAGUUUGACUCUAUAUUAGAAUUCUUUUUUAGUACUUAACAACAACAACAAUAAUAAUUUUUUUGAAGGGUUAACUUAAUUGUUAACUUGGAAUUACGUAGAGUCAUAUAUCAUAGUUUAUAAUAAUAUUAAUACAUAUUUAUAAAAUCAUGAUAUCAAUUAUUUAUUUAAUAAAUUAUAAACAUAAAUCAAUUUUAUUUUUUUAAACUAAGAAUUAAAUAAAUUAAAAAAACUUGAGAUAACAAAAUGUAUUAAAAGAUUCAAUUUCAAGUUAUUUAUAAAAUCAUAAAAUUUUAAGUUUACUUUCAUUAAAAAAUGGAACGUGCUUAUUGCGUACUUUUUCACGUGCUGUACUUUGACCCAUCUCUAAUCGUGCUGUGCUUUUAAAGCCCACAUGCCUAAAAUCUAAGUCCGGCACAGCCCAUGUGCGUGCCGUGUCGUGUCGUGCCGCGUGCUUUAUCGAAAUGUGCUCGUGCCGUGCCGUGCUGUACGGACACGUGCCGUGCCUCGUGCCGUCCGACCCAUUAACCACCUCUAAGUCCAAUUGCGCACAUUAUUUAAAAAAUUUCAUUAAUUUAUUGAAUUUUCUUUAAAUAUACACUAAAGACCUUGAAUAUUUCUUCCAAGAAAAAGUGAUGAUGUGGUCACAGGACACUAUUGAGGCAAAUAUAUUGGCGUGGUCUACUCGGAACAUUGAUAUGUAGUUUGUUUGAUCAUACUUGACUGAAAUUCAGGUAAUAGUGUGCGAUUUACAUUUAAUUAUUUUAUAUUUUUAUACAUUAACUACUCAUGAAAAUUUUAUUUGAUAGAAAUUUAAAUGAAGAGAAAAUCCUAAUCGAUAAUUUCCGUUCAUUUUUCAUAAAUAAAUUACGGCUUUCUAAUUCAAAUAACCUUUCGAUUUCAUACUAUAAUCUUGUAAGUAAUUGUCAAUUAUUUUAGCCACCUUUUUAUCCAAGACAAAAUGUUGUUCAAUAACACUUCAUCAUUUGAUUAAAGAGUAUACGUCAUUGUAUAAACAUAAUUAUCAAGACAGCUUUUAAGAAAAUAAAUUUCUUUUCGAUACUCAAGUAUUGCCGUAAAGCAUAUAUAAUAUCCAAUUUCAGAUUCGACACUCGAUUUUGAAUUGUAAAAACGAAAAACCACAAAGCAGGUUCUCAAGUUAUUCUUUUUAAAAAUUAAUUAUUAUCUAGAAUUAAGGAUAAAUUAGUAAGGAUUGUAGGGGACAUACUGAUGAAUUUUUGGUCACCGUUCACACACACAAACACACAAAUAUCUUGGAAGAGGGAUAUUCAUUGCUUUAGGUGCAUGGAUUUAUGGUCAAUUUGAUAAUACUGUAAUUCUUAAAAAUUAUUAUUAGUUAUACUGUAGAAAUAAUCAACUAUAAAGAGAAUCAGUUAAAAUAUUUGAUAAAAUUUAUUUUUAAAAGUACUAUAUAAAUUUUAAAAGUAGUUGUAUGUAUUUGACAAAUCUUAGUAUUGAAUAGUUGUAAAAAUAUAAAUAAAUAAGAUACACACAAAGUUGAAUAAGAAUUAUUUAAACAUUUGUAAACACACACACAUAUAUAUAUAUAUAAUAUUUUUAUUGUGUAUAUAGAAUAUUUAAUAACUAAAAUAAAAUUUUUAAUUUUAUUUUUUUAUUUUGUUAUCUCAAUAUAAUUAAUAAUAAUCUCUUUAAAUCUAAUUGAAUGAGGAUAAUUUUAGAUUUUUAUAAUAUAUUGCAUUAAAUAGAACAAUGAUUCUAAAAUUAGAUUUUAAAAAUUUAUUCAUUCCAUUCUUUUCAAAAUCUGCUGUAGAAUUAAGUGAUUUGCCAAAAUUAAUUCAAAAAAAAUUAUCAAACAUCAUACUAAAUUUAACUUUUUUCUUUUUAAAAUCAUUUUUAAACUUCUGAAAAAUAAUCUUAAAUGGGCCCUUACACCAAUAAAUUCUAUUUUUGUCAUCUGUUGUCAAAUGCAAAACAACCUAAAAGGAGCUACUUUAGAAAUUAAAAAAAGGAAGAACACACAAUUAAUAUAAGUGUUCUUUAAUUCGAUACAUGUUCAGAAUUAGGCGCAACGCUUAAGUUGAAUCUAAGUUACAUGUAACAUAAUUUAGUCACACGCGCAUUCAUUCGUUGUUUGUCUGAUUUUGUAGAUUUGAAUCUACCCUUUAUAACCGACUGUUACAUUGUAAUGAAUGUAGCCAUGUUUGCUAUUAAUGCACAUAGACGCGAUCAUGGAUACCAUUCAUUUUUGUCGGGAUAACUUGAAUCCUUGUUUCAAUUUCCCUCCAAAAUGAACAUCGCCGUCUUUUUAGCUUUAUGCAUAAAUUAAUUGGCUCGCAUGUCGAUUGAAUUCUCUUUGGCUUUCUCCUUCUAGUAUUCACGCUUUUGGAGUGAAAGAUAAAAUUAAAGGACAACUGACUUAUUUUUAGUCAUUUAAAUGUUUUGAAUAUAUUGGACUUUAUUGUUAUUGUUGUAUCCUUAACAAAUGGCGAUCUUAUAAUAUUUUAUGAAUUAUCUUAUGUAACAAUUUUAUUUAUUCAUAUAUUACUUUUAGGCUACUUUUUCAAGAUCAUAUUUACAUGUUUAUUUAAAAGUAAGCAUACCGUGUUUAUACAAAUAAUAUAUUAAUGUGUGUCUUUUAUGAAUUAUCUUAUGUAACAAUUUUAUUUAUUCAUAAAUUACUUUUAGGCUACAUUUUCGUGAUCGUAUUUAUAUGUUUAUUUAAAAAUAAGUAUACCAUGUUUAUAAAAAUAAUAGAUACAAAAUAAGUGUCCUUUAUCAAUAAGCAAAAGCUUUAUUUAGCAAAGUAAGUUAAACAAAAAAUAAAGACAAGGUAUACAAAAAUCAAUAAAAUUGGAAUAUAGUUUUAGACGGUUUAACUCUAGGCAAGCUGUUGUAAUAAAACAAAAGAUAUUUUAAAUUUAUGACUCUUGUAAUCACUAUAUUAUGAAAUAAUAUUUCAAUAAUAAAAUUUAUUAAAAAAUAUAUUUUAUUUUUAGACCCACAACACUCUUAACCACACAAUUUAUUAAAUAUUUAAUUAUUUUUUCAUUUGACAACUUAUUUUUACCAAUAAAAAAGAAAUAAUUUAUUUCAUCAUACACAUAAUAUUAAUGUAAUUCUAUGUCCUGCAAGAGAAUAUAAAAAAUUAAAAGAAUAGUAAUCAAAGUGAACUGCUUAAGAUUUUAGUUGUCUCAUCUAUUUUGUUGAUGACAAGAAGUUUUCCCGUUUUCAGUUGAUGUCAUCAAUAUCUAGUAGGAUCUAGGUACAGAAGUAACUCUUUAACCCUUUCUCCAUCUCUCCUCAUAGUAGGGGUGUUCAAAAUCCAAUUCGAUUCGCUCAAUCCGUCUAAUCUGUAGAACUCCGAUUUGUAAAAAUUUGAUCCAUGAAUUGGUGGAUUGGAUUGGAUUAAAAAUUUGAAAAUCCGCAGUCGAUAAAUUAGAUAUGAAUUUACUUUUGUGAAUCUGCAAAAAUCCACGAAUCCGUAAAAAAAUAAAAAUAUUUAUUUAAUAAAAAAAUUUAACUUGUAAAUAUGACAUUAUACUUACUAAUAAAUAAAUAAGUUAAAAUAUAGUUACAUUAACACCAUAUUAUGUCUUAUCCGAUAAUAAUAUAAAUAAAAAUAAUUAAAUAAAAAAGCUUCCCAAGCAGUUAAUUUUCAUGUAUUGAUAUAAAAAAAUGAAAUUUUUUUUUGGUGUGUUAUAUUUUGAAACUUUAAAUGUAUUUUAUAGCUUUAUUUAAACAAUUAAUUUAUUUAAAUCUGAUUUAAUUUUGAAUUUGAUCGGUAGUAAAAUUUUUUUAUAUUAAUUUUUUAUUUAGCUAGUUCAUGGAUAUGACAUGAUUAAAAAUUUUUAGCUCGCAAAUCAAUCUGUAAAAUAGUAGAUUGGACAUGGAUUGAGUCAAAUGCACAUCCGAUCCGCAGACGUAUGAAUUAGAUUUGGAUUAAAUUUUACCAAUCCGUAAAUUGAAUUGGAUUAAAAAUUUAUAAUUCAUAAAAUUAUGGAUCAGAUAUAAAUUAAUGUCCAAUCCAUAAAAUUCAAUCCGCGAACAACCCUACCUCUUAGUCAAAGUUGGAUGCCUUUAUUGAGGAAGUAGCAUGCAGCUACUCACUUCUAGAAUCUUUAGCUUAUUGAGGAGCUAUUGGACUUGUCGGGUGCAGUUGGAGGCCCAUAAGCUACCAUCCAAAAUGGGAUAUGAACAUCAAACUAGCAAUUUGUGCUUGAACUAAACAAUUCGCGGUCAAAUCAAAAGAUUCAUCUCAUGGCUUCCCAUUUCAUGUUCAAGUGACACGCUCUGACUACAAAUUCCGAGUAAUAAUAUUUGAUUUUUCAGAUUAUCCCAUCAACUCUCACUUAUUAAUUUAUGUUAUUAUUUUUAAGAAUCAUUUUAUUAAAUAAAAAUUAUUCUUUUAUUUUAUUCUCCUCUACCCCCACUCCUCUCUUUAACUUUUGGUAAAAAUUAUCACCUAAAAUUUUAAGAAUAUUUAUGUUGUAUAAAUAUAUUAUUUUCCUUUUUCAAAUAUUUUCCCGUUUUUUGAGGAGGCUAUUAGGGAAACAAAUCAAUUAUUUUUAUUUUAAUCACCUAGUUUCCAUUUAAUUGAUGUAAGACAUUUAAGCCAAUUAAGAUCUUGAUUUGAUUUAGAUUCUUUCCUAUUUACUUAGAUUAGGAUUCUGAUUUGGUUUAUAUUCUUUCCUAUUUACUUAGAUUAUGAUUCUAAUUUGAUUUAGAUUCUUUCCUAUUAGGGAAGAUUCAGAUUCAGAUUUGAUUUUUGGUUAGGAUUUAUUUCCAAAAAUUCUUGUAACCAACCCUAUAUAAUGUACUCGAUUCCAAUAAACAGGGGAGAAGUUUUUUUGAUGCAAUUGGUGAGAGAGUUAAUUCUCUUUUGUUCUUUACAAACUCUUUGGACUUAUCAGAUUUCUGUGGCGUUCAAAAUCUUGACUUAUCAAUUAGACCAUCCAUAGUUGAUUGUGGCGUCUUCACAUACCAGGGUUCGUGCUUUCAAUAAGCAUUGGGUCGAGGUUCCAUUCCAUUCUUGGUUUAGAUUCGAUCUUGGGAACUAAAUUGAUUAGGGUCGCGUCAGUUUUUGACGGGGUUCGUAUCAUUUGGUAUAAGAGCCUAGGCACCAAGGUCGGAUCCAUCUAUCUUUAUUGUUUUUCAUUCUUGUUUGAAUUUUUCAUCCUUGUUCUAGUAUGUAUAUAAAAAAAAAAUUCGUGAAUAGUACCCCCAUGAACAGUAUUUGUGUGAACAGUGCCGCGUGAACAAUUCUACGUGAACAAUAUUUUUAGGGUUUCUUUUUUAAAAUAUAUUUUGCAUCCUUGUGACUUAAUUCUCCUUAAAUCCACAAGUUUUACCUAUUCCUUUUCCCAAAAAAAAACAAAAAGAUAGAGAGAAUCCCCAACGCCCUCUUAAAAUCUUUCAUUUUUUCCAUUAUUUGUAUCUUGGAAGUCUAAAAUGGGUUUUACCCCAUAGGUGAAAAUUUUGCCCAAAAUCAAAACUUGACUUUACAUACACAUUGCCUUCUUACUCUUGAAAUUUUAGUCUCCUUAGUGUAAUAUUUGUGAAUUGCUGCUGGAAUCUUGAUAUUGGUUUGAUUAGUUUGAUAAGAACCGAGUGAGAAUUGCUAAGAGUGAAAAAAGGUAAGAGAGGGUGAGCGUAUUAGAGAGUAAAAGCCAAUUAAUUGGAGUGAAACAUGAGUGGAAUUGAGCCAGUCCUUUUCUUGAGUGCAACACGUAAAGGAGUGAGGUGAGGUCCUUUCCAGUCCUUUCCACAUUAUUUCUAACUUUUGCAGAUGUUAGCUAUGUCUCACAACGUAGAACGAAACACAAAUGAUGAGGAUCAAUCCGCAACUACUCAGAAUUUACAAAUUCAAGCAUUGAUGGGAGAGAUGAGGAGGAUGAUGAGGGCUGAAUUAGAGCUCAUUCACGAGUGUUUGGAUCAAGUGGAGAACACACGUGCAGGGCAUCCACAACCCGUUCCCCAAGCAUGUAGGAGAGGAAGAGCACCAACUAGAGGAGAGAUGGAUGACUAUUAUAGGGAUGUGUAUGAUGAAGGGGAGGACUGAAUGGACAGCUAUAGGAGAGAUGGACAAGGUAUGAGAGCUAGGAAUAGAGAUGAUGAAUUAAGUGGCAUAAUGAUGAAGAUUCCAUCUUUUCAAGGAAAAUCCGACCUAGAAGCAUACCUUAAAUGGGAGAAGAAAAUGGAGUUCAUAUUUGACUGCCACAAUUAUUCAGAGGCAAAAAAGGUAAAAUUGACUAUGAUUGAGUUUUCUAACUAUGCUAUUACCUGGUGGGAUCAGCUUGUUAUAAGUAGGAAGAGAAAUAGGGAACGUCCAGUUGAGACAUGGGAUGAAAUGAAAUCAUUGAUGAGAAGGCGUUUUGUACUUAACUACUAUUAUCGAGACUUGUACGAAAAAUUAGAACGUCUUACACAGGGUAACUAAAGCGUUGAGGAUUAUUAUAAAGAAAUGGAGAUUGCCAUGAUUAAAGCAAAUGUGGAGGAGGAUAUAGAAGCUACCAUGGCACGAUUCUUAAAUGGUCUUAAUUGGAAGAUUGCGGAUAAGGUUGAGUUGCAACAUUAUGUGGAGAUUGAGGAGAUGGUCCACAAAUCCAUCAAGAUUGAGCAGCAACUCAAGAGGAGGGGUAACAGCCGUGCAACCCUAAGCUCGAGUUCCACUCCUUGGAAGUCGAGCUAUGUGAAACGAGACGAAAGGUCACAAGCAUCUACUUCACUUAAGCGAAGAUCCGAGCCCUCCAAGCAUAAUUCAGCAGGUAACACCAUGACUCAUACUAUUAGGAAUCAUGACAUUAAGUGUUUUAAAUGUCAUGGCAGGGGGCAUAUCGCAAGUGAAUGUGUGAAUAAAAGAGUUAUGGUGUUGCGGGACAAUGGUGAGAUUGUAACUGAAGAUGAAACGAAGAAAAUGAGAUGCCACCAUUAGAGAAUCUCGAAGAUGAAGAGUAUAUAGCCCUUGGGGAAUUGACUUUAGUAGUGAGGAGAGCUUUGGGUGUGCAAGUGAAAGAAGACGAAGUAGUGCAACGGGAAAAUAUUUUGCAUACUAGGUGAUAUGUUUAAGACAAAGUAUGUAGUAUGAUUAUUGAUGGAGGAAGUUGUACUAAUGUUGCUAGUACUAUCAUGGUAGAGAAGCUAGGGCAUCCUACACUUAAACACCCACGGCCAUACAAACUACAAUGGUUAAAUGAUAGUGGUGAGGUGAAAGUAAACAAGCAAGUACUAGUGACUUUUCAGAUUGGCAAGUAUGAAGAUAAGGUGCUUUGUGAUGUAGUACCAAUGCAAGCUGGACACUUGUUACUUGAGCGGCCUUGGCAAUUCGAUAGACGUGUGAAGCAUGAUGGCUUCACCAACAAAUAUUCAUUUAUAUUUAAUCAACGCAAUAUCACUCUUGUUCCAUUGACACCAAAGCAGGUUUAUGGAGACCAAGUGAGCCUACAUAGAGAGAGUGAGCAAAAGAAAAAGAGAGAAAAAAAGAGUGAAAGUCAAAAAGAGGCCGAGGAAAAUGUGAGAGAAAAACCAAAGAAAAAUAUAACCAUUGAGCGAAAAUCAAAUGGAAAACAAAAGAAUUUCUUCGUGAGAGCGAGUGAGAUAAAAAAAACGUUGUUUUCACAUCAGCCGAUGAUUGUACUUUUGUACAAAGAGGCAUUUUUGAACACUAACGAAUUUGACCCUACUUUGCCUAGUUCUAUUAUUUCUCUUUUGCAGGAGUAUGAGGAUGUCUUUCCUGAGGAAGCACCACAUGGUUUACCUCCAAUCCGAUGGAUUGAGCAUCAAAUUGAUUUUGUGCCUAAUGCAGCUAUUCUAAAUAGAUCAGCCUAUUGGAGUAAUUCAGAAGAGACCAAGGAACUUCAAAGGCAGGUUAAUGAAUUGAUAGAAAAAGGGUACGUGAGAGAAAGCAUGAGUCCAUGUGCAGUUCCCGUUUUAUUAGUUCCUAAGAAGGAUGUGAUGUGGAGGAUGUGUGUUGACUAUCGAGCCAUCAACAACAUAACGGUUGAUGAGGAAAAGGUCCGUGCAAUUCAAGAAUGGCCAAGUCCCACAAGUGUAAGUAAUGUGAGAAGCUUUCAUGGGCUUGCUAGUUUCUAUCGACGAUUUGUGAAAGACUUUAACACAUUAGCCACACCGCUUAUUGAAGUAAUAAAAAAAGAUGUUGGAUUCAAGUGGGGAGAAGCGCAAGAAAAGGCAUUUCAAAUAAUCAAGCACAAGCUGACCAAUGCUCCUUUAUUGUCUUUGCCUAACUUUAAUAAAACAUUUGAAAUUGAGUGCGAUACCUUCGGUAUUGGUAUUGGCUCAAUCCUAAUGCAGGAGGGACGACCAAUUGCUUACUUUAGUGAAAAGUUGAGUGGGGCAGCCUUAAACUACCCUACUUACGAUAAGGAGUUGUAUGCGUUAGUUCAAGCGUUAGAAAUGUGGCAGCACUACCUAUGGCCUAAAGAGUUCGUGAUUUACAUUGAUCAUGAAUCCAUGAAACACCUUAAAGGCCAACACAAGUUGAACAAGAGACAUGCUCGAUGGGUAGAAUUCAUUGAGACAUUUCCAUAUGUCAUUCGUUACAAGCAAGAUAAGGAAAACAUUGUUGCAGAUGCGCUUUCCCGCAGGUAUGUCUUAAUCUCAACACUUAAUGCUAAACUACUUAGUUUUGAACAUAUUAAGGAAUUAUAUGCUGAUGACUAUGAUUUUAGUGUUGAAUACCAAGCUUGUGAAAAGACCGCAGUCGGUAAAUACUUUAGGCAUGAUGACUAUUUAUUUUGGGAGAAUAAACUAUGUGUGCCUAACUGUUCUUUGAGAGAUUUGUUAGUGAGAGAAUCCUAUGGAGGAGGGUUAAUGAGGCAUUUUGGAGUUAUAAAGACUCUAGCAGUUUUACAGGAACACUUCUAUUGGCCACAUAUGAAACAAGAUGUUGAAAGACUUUGUGAUAAAUGUUUCACUUGUAGGCAAGCCAAAUCGAAAGUGCAACCUUAUGGCUUAUACACCCCUUUGCCAAUACUUAGUGCACCUUAGACUGAUGUUUCGAUGGAUUUUGUGAUAGCUUUACCUAGGUCUAAAAAAGGGAAAUACUCAAUUUUUGUGGUUGUAGAUGCUUUUAAUAUUGCUGACCUAUUCUUUAGGGAGAUUGUGAGGUUGCAUGGUAUGCCCAGAACAAUUGUUUCUGAUAGGGAUGCUAAGUUUUUAAGUUACUUUCAAAAAACCUUAUGGGGUAAGUUAGGAAUUAAGUUGUUGUUUUCAACUACUUGUCACCCUCAAAUUGAUGGUCAAACAUAAGUUGUGAAUAGAACUUUAUCUACUCUAUUGCGAGCUAUCAUUAAAAAGAACAUCAAAACUUGGAAAGAUUGUUUACCACAUGUUGAGUUUGCUUAUAAUCGUUCUAUUCAUUCUGCUACUAAGUAUUACCAACUGGGGUGUACGAGAGUAACGUGGUCAGGUAAACCAGACACUCCGUAUCUCUUUUUUAUCUAAGAACCUAGACAAUCCCGCUAGACAUAGACUCUCUUGGUCACUUAGUCUAAAAGAUAGGACUCCGUCUCUUUUUCUCAGAUCAAAGAAAAAGCAGGGUUAUUUGCAUUCUGUUGCACAUGAUCCUUACUAAGGCAAGUGCAGAGUAUACUUGCAAAAGAUAGAUAUUGAACAAGGGUAAGAGUUCUAGGUCUAAAGGAGUUUUGAAUUAAGAAUAGAAAAUGGAGUUUUUAGUUAUCCGUAGUAGAGAACAUAUUCGAAAUUUUUUUCUUAAAACCUCUUCUAUUUUAUUUAUUCAAAUGAUCUCCUUAUAUAGACAUAAGGAGUGAUAGAUACAAAGGCUGGAAUAUGACAAAUCCAGCUGUCAUAGCUUUAUAAAAGCUAGACUUAGUGGCCAACAAAGCUAAAAUACACACUUAUUACAAAGCGACAAACAACUUUAAAAAGUUAAAGCAAAAGCUAAAGCAAAAGCCAAAACACUCAUUAUUACAAGACGAAAAAUAUCUUAAAGAGAGAUUGAGGCAUCUUUAGAUGAUGAUUCUGUCUCGUCAGGAUCACGAUUAGGGUCCUUGUAUUUUUUGAAGAGUUUUUUUGGAUGAGAACACCCUGGAACACACGGCCAAGGGCAAUAUUGACCUUUUGGUGAUGGAGGAGUUGGCUGAGGAAAGUGUUCAGGUUGAGAGGAAAAUGGCGGAUAUGGAGAAGAGGAUGAGCCAGGGAAUUCAUAUGGUGAUGGUGAAGGUACCAGGGUAAAAUCUUCCUAAGGAUCUUGUGAAUCUUAGAAUAAAAAGUCAAUGUAAUCUGGCUUUUCUUCUUUUAUGAUGAUUCCUCGGUUAGGAGGUUGAGAUUGUAAGGAUGGUGUGGGGAUUAUGAACAUUUCAUGUUUUGGUCCAAGAAAUGUGUGAAGGAUAUCUGGUUGGUCUGGAGGAAUGUGGUUGAGUUCCACGAGGAAAUUUUUCAAGGAAGUUUUGAUCUGGAAAUCUUGUUCAAGACAGGCAAUGUGAGGAACAAUGAUCCAUUCAUAACUCUGAUUAUGUGUCAAAAAAUUUUUGGUAUGAGGAUGCUGAAAGUAUGGACGGUGGAUAAUAAAAACAAUAGUGAACUGUUUUCCUUCUUGGUCUGGAAGUUCUAGAAGACGAUGUGUGUCAGCAAUCUGUUGUAGCUUCUGGUGCCACCAUGGUAAUGGCGAAAACCAUUCAAACAGAGUCCAGGUGAGAGAGGUGGAAAACUCUAGAUCAUUGAGCUUAGUGAGAAGGGGUAAGACUGGGAAAACCAUUUUUAUGGCAUACAGAACAGUAAGGCACCAUGUAUACCAAAGUUCAUCUUCGGUAAUAUCUCUGUGAGGUGUGAUUACUAAUCCUGUAAGGAAAAGAUGAUCAGGAUGAAAACUAGGGAAAAACAUAGGUUCUUUACUCAUCAUGUAGAUGUUUAUAAAAAACCUAAAGAGGGAUUUUCUGGUGAAGUCUUGGAUCUAGUGAGGUGAUUGAAAAGUCAUGUUGAGUGGGAAAGCCUUCUAAGUGAGGGCUGUUUUAAGGAGUGAACUAGCCAUGGCAAUAAUUGGGAAGGAAAUCUGAGAGGUGAUACAGAAGAACUGAGGAGGUUUUGGUUUUGGAGGUCUGGAUAGAAAGUAUGGGAUGAGGUUAUAAUCUCCUUUUAUAUGCUGGACAUGGUAGUCAUAUCUUGAGAACCAUUCUUUAAGCUGAAGUAAGGUUUUCUCUAGAACAACCUUCUGCUUAAAGUUCAAGAUAUUGGGAAAAACUGAAUUAUCCAGUCGGAUCAAGAAUCUAUGGCCAAUCAAAUGGAAUUCAAAUUUCUUAAUACCAUUUUUCACGGCUAAGAUUUCUUUGUAGACUGUGUGAUAAUGCUUUUGCGCAUCAGGGAAUUGUCCACUUGCGUAGGCAAUAAAAUGCUCUUUUCCAUUGUAGUUUUCAAGGAGGAUGGCCCCCCAUGAUUCGUCACUUGCAUUUGUCUGUAGAAUCCUUUUAUCGUCUGUGAUAAGCUUUAAAGGUGGCGGAUUCUGGGGAAUCUGUUUUAAUUGCUUCACAACAUUUGUGUGGGUGUCUGACCAAGAUGGUGGAUUCUUUUUGAGAAGUGCAUGCAACUUGCUUGUAUGGUGGGUGACAUGUGGCAGGAAAUCACAGAUGUAAUUGACAAUUCCAAGGAAUUGUUGACUUGCUUUUUGGUAAAGUUACUUUCGGGAAAGUGGAGUAACUCUUGUGCAAUAUGGGUCCAGGCUGGUAAUGUCCGUCUUGAAUUUUCAUGCCAAGAAAGUCAACAGAGAUUGUCGCAAUCGUGCUUUUCUUGUCAGAGAUCAUGAUUCCAUAUUCUUGAAUGAUCUGAAAAAACUGUUGGAGUAGCUUGUGAUGUUCAUCAUGAGUUCCUGAAAAAAGAAGCAAAUCAUCAAUGUAAACAAGGGUACAGUGCAAAAUGAGUUGAAAGAGGGUGGUCAUGGCGUUUUGGAAAAUAGAAGGGGCAGUUUUGAGGCCAAAAAAAAGGACGGUCCAUUGAUAAUGGGCAUUUGGGAUACAAAAAGAAGUUUUGUAUCUUUCAGAGGGAUGAAUGCCAAGUUGCCAAAAUCUAGAUUUUAAAUCGAAUUUUGAAAAGAUGUGGGCAUUUUUUAGGUGAAUAAAGAGGGUGUGUCUGUUGGGUAAAGGGAACUUUUGGUCUUGGAGAAAGUUGUUGAGCGGUUGAUAGUCAAUGACUAAUCGUUUUUUCCUACGAAGGAUUUCAGACCUUUUUGCAACAUAAAAGGCUUGGCAAGCCCAUUGAGAAUUUGUGGGCUCAAUGAGACCUUGUUUGAGCAACUGGGCACAUUCUUGUUGGGCCAAGAUAAGGUCUUGAGGAGUCAUUCCGGUGUGUGUGGCUUUGGUUGGGUUGCUGUCUUCAUUUAACUUAAAAGGUAAGGAUAUGAAGAAAUUCAGGUUUUUCCACAAAGGUUCUGGAUAGGUAAAAAGGCUAUGAUUUUCUGAACAAAAUUUGAGGAUUUGGUCGGUAAUAGCCCGGUACGAAGGUGGUGGAUUGGAUAAGGAAUAGAUUUUGAGAAUACUGGUAAAGGGCUUAACCAUGGACUUGUAACGAAGACCAGAGGGGGUGAUAUAGACAUUUUUUGCCUGAUGUAGGAUGUCAAAACCUACAAAAAGAUCUUUGUUUGGUAAUGAAGAACCAAUUAGCUUUAACCAGACAACACAAUUAGGAAAUAACUGGAUUCCUAUUGGAUGUUUAGUAGCUAAUGUAGUUGUAAAGAUCUUUCCAUCAGCUGCUUUGAAAUGUUCUUCCUACACUUUCCAACAUUCAGAAGGAAGGAUAACAUGAUUAAUCAUGCUUCCUUGAGAACCAGUAUCAAGAAAACCAAUGGCGGUGAUAGGAUUAUGAUUUUUAGAAGGAAUGAUUUGAAUCUUGACAGAAGGGAUUGGAUUAGUAGGAUCAUGAAUUAGGAUGGAUAGAGGUUGGACUAUAUAGAUAGGCUCAAAAUCUGAAUUGUCCGAGUCACUGGAAUUGAUUGGCAAGGCAAAGACUGUGUGGUCAUUGGGUUCUUCUUGUUCUGAAAACAAGUGUUCAACCUGGUCAGUGGAUGGAGAAAACUCUGUCGUGGAUUCCAAAUGUUAGAUGAGCUUAAUCGCCUUUUGAGGUUUCAUAGGGCAGUCUUUUGCAAAGUGGCCUUUCUUUUUACAGAUGAAGCAUCUUCUUUUCUUAUGGCUAGGAACAUUCUUGGAAUGGGACUGUUUUCUUCUGAAGAAUCAGAAUUGUUUAGAAUACCGCUUGUUUGAUGAAGAUGAAAACUUGGAUUUUCUGAAACGAGACUUCUUUUUAGGUGAACAGUCACACCUUUUUGGAUCUUUGCAUUUGAUAGCCAGAUAAGGCUUUUUGUAAGAGAUCAGAAAGGUUCUUUGUCCUUGAUGAGCUCUUGGAAGAAUUUCUUUUGUUCACAUAAUUUAUCAAGACAUCCCAGAGCGAUAUGAAAUAAUUUCUCCAAUAUAAAGUAACAAUGUUGAGCUUAUGCGCUGUUAACUGUCGGUGGAUUUCUAGUUGUAACUCUUCUGGAAGAGAUGUCAGAAAGACAUGUCUGAGUGUAGCAUCAUUAAAUCCAUUCAGCUUAUAAUAAAGCAAAAACAUCCGUUUGUAAUGAUAAUGAAGAUCUUUUGUGUUGAGGGAACAACACUUCAUAUUGAGAUAAUUCUUUCUUGCUGCUUCAAAAGUCGCGCUGGGCUCUCUAAUAAAUUGAUCAUGAAGGAGUGCCAAAGCUUAAGGGACUUCUGGGAUCUGAAUGAAUUGGAGCUGUCUAUAUUGGCCUAAACUGUCAAACCAAUCUCGAAGAGAACCAGUAAACCGAGUACUAAAUUCUCGUAGAACAGUUUGGGUUGUAGCUCCAGAGGCUAGCAUUUGGACAUCUAUCUAGGCAAACAACUCUUGUAACCUUUCUCUCCACUUUGUUAUGGGGAUAUCAUCAAAAGUAAACCAGGGACCAUUUGAAGGCUUGGGGAUUUUUGGUUAUUGAGGAACAGAGUGAGAGGAUUCGCCAGUUUCAUGUGUAGUUUGUGGUUCAUCAUCACUAUCAACAACUUCGGUUGUAGGUUCAGUAGUCGCAGUGGGUUCAGCCAUGAGAAGUUUGGAAAUGUCUGCUAGAUUUGAAUAAGAAGUGUCUGAAGUGUCUGACUCACUUAUAUCAACUGACUGAGUUGUUGAGGAUUCGGAGUCGGAAGAAGAAUCUUCAGUAGAAGAUGGCAAAAGUGAAGGAUGAGAAACUUGAUGAGCAGAAUACUGGUGCAUGGGUUGUUUUUCUAAAGAAACUGGAGGUUGAAUUGAUGGUGAAGUAGUCACUGGCAAAGAGGGUGGUGAUAGAGAUGGUGAUGGUUCAAAUAUGGAUGUUUGAGGUACAGAUUUCAGAAGUGGUUUGGGUGUCUUCUUUGGCUUUGAUAGGCGUUUUGAAGGGAAAAGGGUAUGAGUCAUUCUAAAAAGUUUAGACGGAUCAUAUGUUCUAGAAGAAGUUAGUGGAAGGAAAGGGUGAUAGGUAGGAUUUAUGACAGGAAGUAGAGCAGAAUUGGUAAAAAAAGUAGGUUGAACUUUUUCGGAAUCAAUUCUAGCAAUUUCAGCUUUCAGGGCUCUAAUCUCAGCUUCUUUUUAUCAAAAUCAGGACUGUAAAUUCUUUGAGCGAGCAUGGCUCGAAGUUCAGAGUCAAGUUGAUUAACUCUGUUGUAAAGAUUCUGGUAGAUCUGAUUUAACUGAUCUGAGAUGGUGUCAACCUUUUUCUCAACUUGGUUGGAUUUGUGGGUGAUGUGGUCGACCUUGUGAUGUAAGGUAGUGAUUGCUUGGUUUUGUGCAACAACAUUUUGAGUUUGCCAGUUUAAGACUGCUUCAAAAGAACGAGGUUCUUCUAGGUGGCCAGUAUGGGUAACUGCGGAUGGGAUAUAAGGUUUAGAAAUAAAAUUCUUUUGUUGGUCAGUCUAUUUUUCUAGGGGUGGAAACUGGGCUUGGUAUUCUAUAGAUGUUGAGGGAGAAAACAUCAUACAGGACUGGAGGAGGGGAGCAGAUUCAUCUGGGGAUUUACAAGAUGAUUGUGUCCUGCAAUUAAAGAAAGUACGCUUAUGUUUUUGGAUCCAAGUAAGACCUUUGUGGUAAAUGGGCAAAGGUGCUUGAGAAUCUGGCGCAGGUGGAUCUUCUGGAUGAGCAACAUGGUAUUUGCAAGCUGGAUAUAUGAUCUUUUUGGACUUGCGCUUGCGUUUUUUAGGUUCAUUAUCUUCUUCAACGUCAUCCCAACAAGGGCAGCCUGUAUCACAUUUUCCAGAGGCUAGGACAUCCCAAAGGAAAUGUCCAUUGAGUUUUGCUGGAUAUAUGGGAGAACCUUGAGCAUCGAAUGCUGAAACAAGUAGAUUCUCUUGUUCUGUGUGUACAGAAGUAAUCAUUGAAGAAUAGGUGAAAAAUAAUCUUGGUGGCUCGGAAGAAGAGUUGGGUGGAGGUUUAAAGGUGAGACGAACAGUUCCAUUUGGAUUUUUCUGAAAUUGAUUUUCAGAAGUGUGGAUAAGUUCAGAAUUUUGAUAAAAUUGUUCAUAGUUGGACAACCAUUCUAAAGCCAUCAAUUUGAUUAAUUCUUGGCGAGGAAUCUGCCUUGGGAUUUGAAUAAUGGUUGGGAUUUCGUCUGAUUCUGUAAUAAUCAUAAGAGCUUCAAAAUUUGCAGUCUGUGGAGUUGGCAAAUCUAAAGCAUGAUUCUGCAGCCUGUAAACAAGCUGAUGGUGCAGGGUGGCUAUUACUCCACUUUCCCGAAAGUAACUUUACCAAAAAACAAGUCCAACAAUUCCUUGGAAUUGUCAAUUACAUCCAUGAUUUCCUGCCACAUGUCACCCACCAUACAAGCAAGUUAAUCCUGUAACCCCAUUUGAUUCAACUUGAUUACUUAUUUUUGAGCGUAUUAACUUAGAUAGCAAGAAAAAUGCUGAAAUUGUUAAACAUAUACACGAGAAGACGAAGUUCAACAUUGAGUGGAGAAUUGAGCAAUAUGCUAAACAAGCCAACAAAGGGCGACAUAAGCUAGUCUUUGAACCUGAUGACUGGGUAUGGUUACACAUACACAAGGAACAAUUUCCGGAACAAAGGAAAUCUAAGUUAUUACCUCAAGGGGAUGGCCCAUUCCAAGUUUUGGAACAGAUCAAUGACAAUGCAUACAAACUGAAUUUGCCUAGUGAGUAUAAUGUAAGUGGUACUUUUAAUGUUUCUGAUUUGAGUCCUUUUAAUGUAGGUGAUGAUUUGAGGACAAAUCCUCUUCAAGAGGAGGGGAAUGAUGAGAUUAAGGAUAAAACUAUUACAAGCACACGGGAUAAGGCAUAUUUAGAUCCUACUCAAGUUCCCGUCGGACCCGUUACAAGAGCGAAGAAAUUCAAAGAAUCGCUUAAUGGAUUGAUUCAAGCAACUUAGGCUCAAUCAAAUUCGUGGAGGCCCGUUGAAGGAAUCGCACAUGAUAAAUGCAUGAUUCAGGCUCUUAAAGUUUUGAAAUAAUCACUUCCAUGAAAUAGGGAGUUGGCUUGCACAUUAUGGUGGGAAAAUAUAUUAUUUUCCUUUUUCAGAUACUUUCCCGUUUCUUGAGGAGGCUAUUAGGGAAGCAAAUCAAUUAUUUCUAUUUUAAUCACCUAGUUUCCAUUUAAUUGAUGUAAGGCAUUUAAGCCAAUUAGGAUCCUAAUUUGAUUUAGAUUCUUUCUUAUUUACUUAUAUUAGGAUUCUGAUUUGGUUUAAAUUCUCUUCUAUUUACUUAGAUUAAGAUUCUAAUUCGAUUUAGACUCUUUCCAAUUAGGGAAGAUUCAGAAUCAGAUUUGAUUUUUGGUUAGGAUUUAUUUCAAAAAAUUCUUGUAACCAACCCUAUAUAAUGUACUCGAAUUCAAUAAAUAGGGGAGAAGUUUUUGAUGAAAUUGGUGAGAGAGUUAAUUCUCUUUUGUUCUUUACAAACUCUUUGAACUUAUUAGAUUUCCAUGGCGUUCAAACUCUUGACUUAUCAAUCAGACCAUCCAUAGCUGAUUGUGGCAUCUUCACAUACCAAGGUUUGUGCUUUCAAUAAGCAUUGGGUAGAUUCGAUCUUGGGGACUAAAUUGAUUAAGGGUCGCGUCAGUUCUUGACGGGGUUCGUAUCAUAUGUGAUGUAGUACUUAUGCAUCCUGGACACAUUCUUUUGGGGCGACAUUGGUAAAAUGAUAGGCGUGUGACAUAUGAUGAUUACUUAAACAUAUAUUUUUUGUAAUGAAUGAAAAACCCAUCACUCUUGUACCUUUAACACCUACACAAGUGUAUGAAGAUCAAAUGUCAAUAAAAAAAGAAAAUGAGAGUAAGAAAGAGAGAGAGUUUGAGAGAAAAAAGUAGAAAUGAAGGAAAAAUUAGAAUAUUGUUGAGAGGAAAGAAAGGAGCAAGUAAAUUUGUUUUUAAGGGAGAGCAGGGUUAAGAGCGCUUUCUUUUCAAAAUAACCUAUAAUUAUGCUUAUGUGUAAGGAAGCUUGUUUAUGUACUAAUGAACUUAAUUCUUCUUUGCCUAAUGCUGUUGCGACUUUUUUGUAGGACUUUGAUGAUGUGUUUCUAAAUGAAUUCCUAGUGUUUGUCACGUAUUAGGGGAAUUGAGCAUAAAAAAGACUUUAUCCAUAGACCUACCAUACCUAAUAGAUCCGCAUAUAAAAGUAACCUUGAGGAGAUAAAUGAGCUUCAAAGGCAGGUAUAAGAGCUCUUAAGAAAAGGAUAUGUAAGGAAGACCAUGAGUCUACGUGUCGUACCAGUUCUGUUAAUGCUCAAGAAGGAUGGAACAUGGAGGAUGUGCGUUGAUUAUCGUGUAGUCAAUAAAAUCACUGUAAAGUAUUGACAUCCAAUUACUAGCCUUGAUGAGAUGCUUGAUGAAUUGCAUGGUUCUUGUGUGUUUAGUAAAAUUGAUCUUAAAAGUGAAUAUCAUCAUAUUAGGAUGAGAUAAGGAGAUGAGUGGAAAACUACCUUUAAAACAAAAUAUGGUUUAUAUGAAUGGUUAGUUAUGCUAUUGAGGCUAUCUAAUGCACCGAGCACGUUUAUGAGAUUAAUGAACCAUGUUUUGCAUGCUUUCAUUGUUAAGUUUGUUGUUUAUUUUAAUGAUAUUUUGAUCUAUAGCAAAAGUUUGGAUGAACACAUUGAGUAUUUGCAAAGUGUGGUACUUAUUUUAAGAAAGGAAAAGUUGUACGCUAAUUUGAAAAAAGUGUUCUUUUUUUAUAAAUUAGAUUGUUUUUCUUGGUUAUGUUGUGAGUACUAAAGGAAUUAAGGUUGGUGAAGAGAAGGUAAAGGCUAUUAAGGAGUGUCUUACACCUAAAAGUGUAAGUGAGGUAAGAAGUUUUCAUGGUUUGACUAUUUUUAUGGAAGAUUUGUGAAAGAUUUUAGCACCCUUACUGCACCAUUAACUGAAAUUGUGAAGAAACGUGUGGGAUUUAAGUGAGGUAACAAGAAAAGACAUUAUACUUGAUUUUGCUAAAACUUUUGAAAUUGAGUGUGAAUGCUUCACGUAUAGGUAUUAGGGCUGAUUUAAUGCAAGAAGAGCGUCCUAUUGCCUACUUUGGUGAGAAAUUGAGUGGAGUAGCCCUAAACUAACCUACCAAUGAUAAAGAGAUGUAUGCAUUGGUGAGAGCAUUGGAAACUUGGCAACGCUAUCUUCUACCUAAAGAGUUUGUUAUUCACCCUGAUCAUGAGUUCUUAAAGCAUUUGAAAGGGCAGAGUAAGUUGCAUAAGAGACAUGCUAGAUGGGUUGAGUUUGUUGAGCCAUUUCCUUUCGUGAUCAAAUACAAACAAGGUAAAGAAAAUGUGGUGGUUGAUUCAUUAUCUGAAAGGUAUUCACUUAUAUCUACAUUAAAUGCAAGGUCGUUAGGAUUUGAGUACCUUAAAGAAUUAUAUGUUAAUGAUCCUGAUUUUGCUAAUGUGCUUAAUGCUUAUCAGAAAGUUGCAUUUGAUAAGUUCUAUAGGCAUGAUUGGUUCUUAUUUAGAGAAAAUAAAUUGUGUGAAUUAUUUGCGCAUGAAGCUCAUGGGGGACAUUUAAAAGAAUAAAUAUUUUAAAUAUUUUAAAAGAAUAAAUUUUUUGGCCACAUAUGAAAUGAGAUGCUGAAAGGAUAUAUGAGAAAUGUAUUAUUGGCAAGCAAGCUAUGUCUAGAGUUUUACCCCAUGGAUUGGAUAACCCUUUACCCAUACCUAAUAAACCUUAGGUUGAUAUUUCUCGGGGCUUUGUUUUGUUUUUACCUAGGUCAAAAAAGGAAAGAAUUUUGUUUUUUUUUUUAAUUUUUUGUUGUUGUUGAUAGGUUUUGAAAAAUGGCAGUCCAUGUCAUAAAAUUGAUGACACAAUAAACAUAGUUAAUUUGUCUUUCAAGGAGAUAGUAACAUUGUAUAGAGUAACAAGGAGCAUAGUUUCAUAUUGAGAUGCUAAGUUCUUGAGCCACUUUUAGAAAACUUUGUAGGGGUAAGUUAGGUACUAAGGUUUUGUUUUCUACUUCUCAUCCAAAAACUAAUGGGCAAAUUGACGCUGUAAAAUAGAACUUUGUCUAUUUUGUUGCGUGCCAUUAUUCGAAAGAACUUGAAAACUUGGGAAGAAUAUUUGCCAUAUGUUGAAUUUGCUUAUAAUAGAACUAUCCAUUCAGUUAUUAAAUUUUCAUCUUUUGUGAUAGUAUAUGGUUUUAAUCCAUUAACUCCUUUGGAUUUAUUACUUUUACCUAUUAAUGAGUGUGCUAGUUUGGAUGGUAAUUGCAUGAGAAAAAAAAUGAAUUUGUUAAGUAAUUGCAUGAGAAAGCAUGAUAACACAUAGAAAAUGGACUGAACAAUAUGCUACUCCAGCCAAUAAAGGACGUAAGCAAGUGGGUUUUCAGCCUAUAAAUUAGGUUUGGGUGCAUAUGAGAAAGGAGAGGUUCCUAGCACAAAGGCAUUCCAAGUCGCUUCUAAGGGGAGAUAGUCCUUUUUAAGUGGUUGCACGGAUCAAUGAUAAUGGCUACAAAUUGGAUAUUCCUGGUGAGUAAAAUAUGAGUGCUACUUUUAACGUUUCUGAACUUUGUCCUUUCAAUGAUGUAGGUGAAGACUCGGGGACGGAUAAUUUUGAGAAAAUGGGGAAUGAUGAGAACAAUAAAAAGAAUGCCAUUAAAGCUUCAACUAAUCCUUUGCACAUUCAUAGGUGCUUAAUUACAAGAGCUAAAGCUAAAAAAAAUGCAAGCUGCUUUAAAUAGAUUAAUUGAGAAAAUGUGGACUGAAAAUGCAAUUCAAGAUGUAAGAGACAAUGAAUUAGGUUUGGAGAGGAGACAACAUUAUGGGCAUUAUUCAAGCUAUUGGACAGAUACAAACACAAUCUAGGUCAAUUGUAGAAAGGGAAAAUUCAAAAUAAAAUUGGUGUUGAUUGAGUUGGAACUAUGUGCAAGCUAUAUAUCAUUAGAAAGAUGAUUAAGAUGAAUUUCCAAUGCAAUUUACAGAGUUAGAUUUGGAGUUCUCUAGAAAACGUUAUGACCAAUUUAUUACAACUUGUUCAGGCUUGGGAAUUCCAGCCACCCUUUUAUUUAUUCAACUUCAUUUAUUUGUUAUGUUAUUCAAGUUUGUCAAUGUGUUAGAUAAGUCUACCGUUAAUGAUGGUGGACUAGUAUUAAUUAUGGUAGGCCAGCAUUAAGUUUGUCGAUGACUAGUAUUAACAAUGGUGGGUUGGUGAAGACUUUUAAAGCAUUCUUUUACAAACCUAUGCUUGGAGGGUUGUGCCGACCAAGACAGUGCCAUUAAAGCUUCAACUAAUUCUUUGCACGUUCACAGAGGCCCAAUGCAAGUUACUUUAAAUCGAUUAAUUGAGAAGAUAUGGACUGAAAAUGCAAUUCAAGAUGAAAGCGAUGAUGAGUUGGGCUUGGAGAGAAGACAAGGCAUUGUGGGCAUUAUUCAAGCUAUUGGAUAGCCACGUACACAAUUUAGGUCAAAUGGAGAAAGGGAAAAUUUAGAACAGAACCAGUAAAAAAUUAAUUGAUUUGGAAUUAAUGUGCAAGCUUUAUACCAUUGGAAAGAUGAUUAAGUUAACUUUCUAAUGAAAUUUACAAAGCUGGAUUUAAAGUUCUUUAGAGAACGUUAUGACCAAUUUAUUACAACUUGUUCAGGCUUGAGAUUUCUAACCACCCAUUUGUUUAUUCAACUUCAUUUAUUUGUUGUGUUUCAAGUUUGUCGAUGUGUUAGGUAAGUCUACAAUUAAUGAUGGUGGGCUAGCAUUAAUUUUGUCAAUGACUAACAUUAAUAAUGCUGGUCAGUGAAGAAUUUUAAAGUACCCUUUAACAAACCUAUGCUUGGAGGGUUGUUCAAAUAUUUCAAAGUGUAUUUUUAGGAUCUUGGGUUUCUAUUAAUCUAUUUAAACUAAGCAACCUUACUCUGUAAAAGAUAAUUUAGAGAUUAAUGUUAUUUAAAAUUGAAAGAUCAUUUUUUCUUUGGUUCUUUUGAGAACUGGUGAUUCUCGUGGCGUUCCAAACUAGAUUUAUCACUCACCUUCUCAUCUAUAUUUUGAGUGUGGAGUCAAUAUCCUUC
rnacentral:lncRNA from 1 species